rnacentral:rRNA from 1 species
UUUAUCNUGGCUCAGAAUGAACGCUGGCGGCGUGCUUAAUACAUGCAAGUCGAGCGAGAAAGGGAUUGUUUGGGUGCGUAGAUUAGAGUGGCGCGGGGUGUGUAUCACGUAUAUAUCAUAUGUCUACAUGUGGGAGGUAUUCCGCCCGCGCGGUUCUAUUACGCGGUAUGAUCCGUAUGCGCGCUGGUAUUGUCAUUAAAGGUGGCCUCUUCUUGAAAGCUAUCGCUUGGAGAUGAGUCUGCGGACCAUUAGCUAGUUGGUGGGGUAACGGCCCACCAAGGCUACGAUGGAUAGCCGGUCUGAGAGGGUGAUCAGCCACAUUGGGACUGAAAUACGGUCCAGACUCCUACGGGAGGCAGCAGUAAGGAAUUUUGCGCAAUGGAGGCAAGUCUGACGCAGCAACGCCGCGUGAGUGAUGACGGCCUUCGGGUCGUAAAGCUCUGUCGACUGGGAAGAAAUUGUCUGAUGUUAAUAUCGUCAGGGUCUGACGGUACCACUCGAGGAAGCUCCGGCUAACUACGUGCCAGCAGCCGCGGUAAUACGUAGGGCGCUAGCGUUAUUCGGAAUCACUGGGCGUACAGGGCGCGCAGGCGGACCUGUCAGUCAGGAGUUAAAUGUCCGGGCUCAACCCUUGAUCUGCUUUUGAUA